AUUGAACGCUGGCGGCAUGCCUUACACAUGCAAGUCGAACGGCAGCACGGGAGUAAUCCUGGUGGCGAGUGGCGAACGGGUGAGUAAUACAUCGGAACGUGCCCAGUAGUGGGGGAUAGCCCGGCGAAAGCCGGAUUAAUACCGCAUACGACCUACGGGUGAAAGCGGGGGAUCGCAAGACCUCGCGCUAUCGGAGCGGCCGAUGUCAGAUUAGGUUGUUGGUGGGGAAAGGCCUACCAAGCCGACGAUCUGUAGCUGGUCUGAGAGGACGACCAGCCACACUGGGACUGAGACACGGCCCAGACUCCUACGGGAGGCAGCAGUGGGGAAUAUUGGACAAUGGGCGCAAGCCUGAUCCAGCGAUGCCGCGUGUGUGAAGAAGGCCUGCGGGUUGUAAAGCACUUUCAGUAGGGAAG
rnacentral:rRNA from 1 species